rnacentral:rRNA from 1 species
UACGUAGGGACCGAGCGUUGUCCGGAAUCAUUGGGCGUAAAGAGCGUGUAGGCGGCCACUUAAGUCCUGCGUGAAAUCUUGCGGCUCAACCGCAAGCGGUCGUGGGAAACUGGGUGGCUAGAGUGCGGGAGAGGAGAGUGGAAUUCCCGGUGUAGCGGUGAAAUGCGCAGAUAUCGGGAAGAACACCCGUGGCGAAGGCGGCUCUCUGGAACGCAACUGACGCUGAGACGCGAAAGCGUGGGGAGCGAACAGG